CGGCCACAUUGGGACUGAGACACGGCCCAGACUCCUACGGGAGGCAGCAGUGGGGGAUAUUGCGCAAUGGGGGCAACCCUGACGCAGCAACGCCGCGUGAAGGAUGAAGGUUUUCGGAUUGUAAACUUCUUUUAUUAAGGACGAAAAUUGACGGUACUUAAUGAAUAAGCUCCGGCUAACUACGUGCCAGCAGCCGCGGUAAUACGUAGGGAGCAAGCGUUGUCCGGAUUUACUGGGUGUAAAGGGUGCGUAGGCGGCUUUGCAAGUCAGAUGUGAAAUCUAUGGGCUCAACCCAUAAACUGCAUUUGAAACUGUAGAGCUUGAGUGAAGUAGAGGCAGGCGGAAUUCCCCGUGUAGCGGUGAAAUGCGUAGAGAUGGGGAGGAACACCAGUGGCGAAGGCGGCCUGCUGGGCUUUAACUGACGCUGAGGCACGAAAGCGUGGGUAGCAAACAGGAUUAGAUACCCUGGUAGUCCACGCUGUAAACGAUGAUUACUAGGUGUGGGGGGUCUGACCCCUUCCGUGCCGGAGUUAACACAAUAAGUAAUCCACCUGGGGAGUACGGCCGCAAGGUUGAAACUCAAAGGAAUUGACGGGGGCCCGCACAAGCAGUGGAGUAUGUGGUUUAAUUCGACGCAACGCGAAGAACCUUACCAAGUCUUGACAUCCUGCGACGGUUCUGGAAACAGAACUUUCCUUCGGGACGCAGAGACAGGUGGUGCAUGGUUGUCGUCAGCUCGUGUCGUGAGAUGUUGGGUUAAGUCCCGCAACGAGCGCAACCCUUGCUAUUAGUUGCUACGCAAGAGCACUCUAAUAGGACUGCCGUUGACAAAACGGAGGAAGGUGGGGACGACGUCAAAUCAUCAUGCCCCUUAUGUCCUGGGCUACACACGUAAUACAAUGGCGGUCAACAGAGGGAAGCAAAGCCGCGAGGCAGAGCAAACCCCUAAAAGCCGUCUCAGUUCGGAUUGCAGGCUGCAACUCGCCUGCAUGAAGUUGGAAUUGCUAGUAAUCGUGGAUCAGCAUGCCACGGUGAAUACGUUCCCGGGCCUUGUACACACCGCCCGUCACACCAUGAGAGCCGGGGGGACCCGAAGUCGGUAGUCUAACCGCAAGGAGGACGCCGCCGAAGGUAAAACUGGUGAUUGGGGUGAAGUCGUAACAAGGUAGCCGUAGGAGAACCUGCGGCUG
rnacentral:rRNA from 1 species